AUCGAAUCUACAUAAUUACCCAAAAAAAUACAAACUUUAAACUCCCACAACCCACAAAUCGAGAAGCUAAACCCACAACAGAACAGGUUUGAAAAAAAAACACAAACUUGUCAUCAUCCAAAAUGAGCCAAUGCCAAAGCCCAUGUGACAAUUAGUGCAAGACUCCAGGCAAAACAGUUUGGAAACAUAAACAUAGCUCAAAACGCCAGCAUCGUGCAUUUUUCACACCCGAAACCAAACAACUCAACGAAAUUCUUCAACUCAGACGCAAGUUACUUUUUCUCAGCUCACAUUUAGAGAUUUUUCUCACCUAGUUUUGAUCGAAAAACCGUAACUUGUUUUGGGAAUGUUGUUUUAUGUAUGUCGGGUCGGAUCUGCACCGGUUCCGGGUCGGAGGGUACACGCGUGUAUAAAUAUAAUCAUAGUAGGAAAUACUAAUAUCAUUGUUUCAUUAUUUUUGGCCGCCGCUCUGUCUCUUUCCCAAAUUCAAGUUUAGUACUCUCUCUCUCCCAAAUUCAGGUCCUCUCUCUACCAGUUUCAAGCUCUCUCUCUUGCCCGCCUGCUCGCCCAAGUUUACAGAUUCAUUGUUAUUUGAAAUGCCAAACGGCGUUUCCCACCCUCUGCGUAUGGUAGCUUCAGUUGCUGCUUCGCUUCUUGGUGGAGUUUUCGCUGUUGGUUUUCUGUCCUCUUCAGUCUCCGAACGCUACACUUCAUUUAAGAAGGUUGCUUUUGCAGAAAAAAUAUGGGCGGCCGUGUCGGAGCUGUAAAGCAGUUGGCUACUACGCGUGUAAGACGUGUAAAGGGCGUGGCACUAUAAAUUGGUCUCCACUCUAUGAUCCAAUCUUCAUAAACCCUUGUGUCUGUCCAACCUGUGAUGGAUUCAAGGUCCAACGCUGUCUUAACUGCUUGGGAUACGGCUCUGCAUAAGUUUUCAAUAUCAUGGUGCUAGUAAGAUUGGAUCUUCUCAAUCUUGUUGAAAUCGGAAUUGACUGUUUUUGCUAAUCAGAAGCCUCACUUACAUACACCUCGAGCUAGGAAUUCGUCAUGUUUACCUUCGAAAUGUUUAUAAAAUGGAGUAGAUGCUUAGGUAAAUGUUCACCUAGAACCAUGAAACAUGGCUGUUGUAAUCAUAUCAAUAACCUUAGAUAGCUAGUGAAUUUUUGCAUAUGUUGUUAAAGAUGAACCAUUGUGGUUUUGCUGUGAUUUUUGGUUAUGAAUAUGUUAACAUUGAUAGAAAUAUGUAGCACUUCAAUAUUUGAGUAA